GGUUUUAAAUUAAAAAAGAUAAAAUCUUUGUAAAAAAACUAAAAGGACGCGGUAACCUUGACCGUGAUAAUGUAGCAUAAUCACUCGCCAUUUAAUUGAUGGAUAGUAUGAAUGGUUGAACGAAUAUUUCACUGUCUUAAAAAGAAUCAAAUAAAAUUAAAAUAAUAGUUAAGAUGCUAUUUUAAAUUGUAAGACGAAAAGACCCUAUAGAGCUUAACUAUAACUUUCUUAUAAACUAAAAAAAUAAUAAUUUUUGAAAUAAGAAAAUUGGUAGUUUAGUUGGGGCGACUACCUUCUAUAUAAAACGAAGGUAAGCAAAGUUAAUAAAAAACUUAUUAUAUAAGUAAAAUAUUUAAUAAUUACAAAAGUAGGCUAUAAUGACCCGUUAAUAUUCAGUAAAAAAUUUAACGAUCAAUUAAUAAAAGCUACCUUAGGGAUAACAGGAUAAUUUCAUUUUAGAGUUCUUAUCGAAAAUGAAGUUUGUCACCUCUAUGUUGAAUUAA
rnacentral:rRNA from 1 species